rnacentral:rRNA from 1 species
GUAGGUGGCAAGCGUUGUCCGGAAUUAUCGGGCGUAAAGCGCGCGCAGGCGGUUCUUUAAGUCUGAUGUGAAAGCCCACGGGCUCAACCGUGGAGGGUCAUUGGAAACUGGAGAACUUGAGUACAGAAGAGGAAAGCGGAAUUCCACGUGUAGCGGUGAAAUGCGUAGAGAUGUGGAGGAACACCAGUGGCGAAGGCGGCUUUCUGGUCUGUAACUGACGCUGAGGCGCGAAAGCGUGGGGAGCAAACAGGAUUAGAUACCCUGGUAGUCCACGCCGUAAACGAUGAGUGCUAAGUGUUAGGGGGGUUUCCGCCCCCUUAGUGCUGCAGCUAACGCAUUAAGCACUCCGCCUGGGGAGUACGGCCACAAGGCUG